AGCGAACGCUGGCGGCAGGCUUAACACAUGCAAGUCGAGCGGGCACUUUCGGGUGUCAGCGGCUGACGGGUGAGUAACGCGUGGGAACGUGCCCUCUGGUUCGGAAUAACUCAGGGAAACUUGAGCUAAUACCGGAUACGCCCUUUUGGGGAAAGGCUUGCUGCCGGAGGAUGGGCGCGCGCCUGAUUAGCUAGUUGGUGAGGUGACGGCUCACCAAGGCGGCGAUCAGUAGCUGGUCUGAGAGGAUGAUCAGCCACACUGGGACUGAGACACGGCCGAGACUCCUGCGGGAGGCAGCAGUGGGGAAUAUUGGACUAUGGGCGCAAGCCUGAUCCAGCCAUGCCGCGUGAGUGAUGAAGGCCUUAGGGUUGUAAAGCUCUUUUAUCCGGGACGAUAAUGACGGUACCGGAGGAAUAAGCCCCGGCUAACUUCGUG
rnacentral:rRNA from 1 species